CUUAUACUCCCUCCGUUCCAAAAUUCUUGUCUUAGAUUUGUAUAGAUAUGAAUGUAUCUAAUCAUAUUUUAGUAUUUUGAUACAUCCAUUUAAAAAAAAUCUAAGACAAGAAUUUUGGGACAGAGGAAGUAUUUA
rnacentral:pre_miRNA from 1 species